UUGUAUUAAACCAUAGAGGAUAAAAAUGCUAGAGAUAAAAUGUUGUGUCAUAAAUAUACCAUUUUAUUUAUCUUCUUGCUGCAAAUGCUUAAUUCUGUUUUUUUAAUGCAUCGCGACUGUGCAACAGUAUUGUUUUUAAAGGGAAUGCCGUACAAUAGCCUAUUGGUGAAUAGAUUUAAACAACAGAACUUAGCAUUAUACUCCCACAAAUGGAUUACAUUCAGAUAAAGAAUGUAUUAUUUGUAGCCUCAAACAAAUGACGCGUCAAUAUCUGCAAGAAACGUUUGGUACAGCUGCAUAUCAUCCUUUGGCUGCAACAGACUUUAAGGAAAUUACAAAACUUCAUAAAGUGCUAACUCAUGCAACAUAUGUGAAAGUCUAAAUGAACCGAACACGUGUCACCAGAGUGGAUCCUUAAAGAAUUGUCAGCUUCGCAUUUUUCCCUAUUGAAAACAGAAGCGAAUAUAGGCCUAUGCGAAUUAUAUAUGCGGUUAGCGGUUUGGCAAAUAUUGAUCACAACAUAAACGAUCGAUGCAAAGUACCUUCGCCCUUUAAUAGUUUCUGAAUUCAUAUUUCAGAGGAUUUUAUUUUAUUGUCAACACAACUAUUAAAAAGAAAUGCGGUUUUCAUUUAUUUUUAAAUAGUGAGAAGGGGUAAUGGUUGCAAUCAGGGAUAGACAAAUCUCAUCUGAUUAACUGCCUCACUUUAUUCAAAUUGCUUCUAUAAAAUUCAGAACAAUUUGCCUGUAAUGAUUAUGGACUGGUUUUAUUUUGGGAGGUGGAAUACAUUGGAUAAAGCAUAAAUUAUCCUCUAAUUAUACACUAGUGUCGCUUCAAUUAUCCUCUUAUCAAAAAUGGUUGUUUAAAUGCAGCGGUUAGUUUCAAUUUUCUCCCCUUCUACAAGAACUUCAUACCUUGCUAUUAUUUUUAUUAGGGUUGUUAUUUACAGAGGGAUUUAAAACUGCACAGAUAGCCAGGACAAUCAUUCCCCAAGACUGACUAAAGCAAAGCAUUGAAACGGCACAACAGAAAAGCGGCAAGUCUUCAUUUUGAAAACGUUUUUUUUUUUUUUAAUCUCAAUUUUAAUAAAAAAUAGGAUUUCAUUUGGAUCUGUUUGGGACACUACCGAAUAAGCUCACUAUAAUGUACUACUAUGGCUGCCGUUUGUCAAAAGCUAUACGCCAACCGAACCAACAUCGUAAGAUGAACGUUUUGAACUGCAGUGUUUCCCGAACAGCAACAUAUAACUCCUGCAGCUCUUGAACGCCUACUUGAGUUCACGACUGGUCUGAGGUGAACGUGAAAUAUUCGGAAGCCACUUCACCUCCUUCAAUCUGGAACGGGGAGUUUUUCGGGCGUGAAAGCCUACCAGUCCGGUCUAAAAGUGAGAAAAAAGGAACUUAUUACUGGAGUUCAAAUCCACCAGGCGUCGAUGACUUCCCAUCCCGAUAGUGAAGGAUGUGCAAGAAAAAAGAUACUUUCUCUUGGACGCAUUGGUUAAAAAAAAAAAAAAAAAAAAAAAAUCAGAUGUAAUUAAAACCUUGUAUGUGUAUUAACCCAAAUGCGCCACCCAGCAAGAGUCUAAUUAUAAAGUUCCGGUUGAAAACAAAAAUGUGUACAAGUCUGUCGAGUUCUCUCUCUUGUAAGACAUCACCGUUCAGCGCGUGAACUUAAAAUACUGCUUAUGUUUUACUGCCUUACACUACAAAAGGCAAAUAUCUCUUUUAAACUGGCACAUGAAUAAUUUUGUUUGAAAUGACAUAUCAGGGGCCCGAUUCAGGUGCGUUUUUUUUUUUUUUUUCUUAGCCUGUCUAUCUAGCGUUGCACACACAUUUGGUCGUAUUACCUGUCGUAUUACACCAACACCAUAACCUAUAAAUACAACAGGAGGACCACAGUCGUUUGCAUCAUUGAAAUUUGUGAAACAUGGUUGCUGUAAUUUAUACCGUGUAUUUAAGACAUAGACAGAGACAGUUACCAACACUAAUAUGUGCGCGGUGUCUUUGACAUGGUUUCUGAUCAAGAAAUGACCGUGAACAGCUUACAGGGAGAAUAUGCAAUACGUCCCUAAUAUUCAAACGGCCCUCUCUUUCUUUUGUGGAAUGUGUGCACCAGGAUGAGGGUGGCUCAGCCUGUUUGUUUCGCAUUACGUCUCCACUUUUUAGUUUGUUUGGAGGGGCUGGUGUCAAGCUGCUAUAACCUGUCCACUUUCUUUUUUUUUUUUUUUUUUUUUUUUAGCUUGAUCCCAUGUUAUGACCCGCUGGCAACAUUUAUCUUAUUUGCAAUUGCAUUCCCUUCCAUCCCUCUAAGAGAACUUUUUCUGUCCGGUUUGUCUCUUAACAUAAUCAUGUUUACUUGCAUCUGUCACCCAGGCCAACCCUGCUUUAUCAAACACAACGUGAAAUCGCGUAGCCUACCCGCAUGACAGCAGGUCCUGACACGGUUAGGUUCCGACCAGGGCAUGUCAGUGUGAAAAGGGUUCUGUCCCGUAUAUAACUAAUGAUUAGGCAAAUGAGAUUUCCAAGACCAUUCAAAAAACACUUCUUUCCUUGUGUUGCGUUGUGUAUUUUCAGACUUGGGAUACAAUUUGCUAGCAUGCCUGUCAUGUUGAAAGACACGCGAUUCGACUGGAAUAUGAUAUUGAUAACUGAUCGAAAUAGCAGGUGGUAACUGGUCGAAAGGCCUAUUUGAUCUUACGUUCUCACAACAAUAUAUAGAAACGAGCUCCAGCUCUACA